CCUGGUGGCAGCAAAGUAAAGUCUGAAGCCUUAGAAAAGGCUGAUCCUCCACCAGCUCUUGAAAUUCCUGCUAUCUUCAUCAAAGAGGAGCCUGAGGAUAAAACUGAAGAAGUAUCCAUCAAAGAGGAGCCAUUCUUUUUUGGAAAUGAGGCUUGUUCAACUGCACAUCUCAGCCCUGCA